rnacentral:rRNA from 1 species
AUUGAACGCUGGCGGCAGGCCUAACACAUGCAAGUCGAGCGAGCGGCGGACGGGUGAGUAAUGUCUGGGAAUCUGCCUGAUGGAGGGGGAUAACUACUGGAAACGGUAGCUAAUACCGCAUACUAUCAGAUGGGCCCAGAUGGGAUUAGCUAGUAGGUGGGGUAAUGGCUCACCUAGGCGACGAUCCCUAGCUGGUCUGAGAGGAUGAUCAGCCACACUGGAACUGAGACACGGCCCAGACUCCUACGGGAGGCAGCAGUGGGGAAUAUUGCACAAUGGGCGCAAGCCUGAUGCAGCCAUGCCGCGUGUGUGAAGAAGGCCUUCGGGUUGUAAAGCACUUUUGGCGGGGAAGCGUUACCCGCAGAAUAAGCACCGGCUAACUCCGUGCCAGCAGCCGCGGUAAUAC